rnacentral:miRNA from 1 species
AAAUGCAGACCCUCAGGUUCCUCCCCUAGAAAGUCAGCAAACCAGGGGUGGAGCCCAGGAAUCUGCAUUUCAGCAAAUACUGUAGGCGAUUUUGAUGCA